rnacentral:rRNA from 1 species
CCUACGGGAGGCUGCAGUGGGGAAUAUUGGACAAUGGGGGCAACCCUGAUCCAGCCAUGCCGCGUGUGUGAAGAAGGCCCUCGGGUUGUAAAGCACUUUCAGUGAGGAAGAACGCCUGGUGGUUAAUACCCAUCAGGAAAGACAUCACUCACAGAAGAAGCACCGGCUAACUCCGUGCCAGCAGCCGCGGUAAUACGGAGGGUGCGAGCGUUAAUCGGAAUUACUGGGCGUAAAGCGCGCGUAGGUGGCUUGAUAAGCCGGUUGUGAAAGCCCCGGGCUCAACCUGGGAACGGCAUCCGGAACUGUCAAGCUAGAGUGCAGGAGAGGAAGGUAGAAUUCCCGGUGUAGCGGUGAAAUGCGUAGAGAUCGGGAGGAAUACCAGUGGCGAGGGCGGCCUUCUGGACUGACACUGACACUGAGGUGCGAAAGCGUGGGUAGCAAACAGGAUUAGAUACCCUGGUAGUC